GCAAGGUGUGAUGCAGGUGCAGAUGCAACUUUGAUUACAGGUGUUCUGGCAACUUAGAAAGCUCAGUGUCUAUGUUUGCUUGCUUUCAAAUUGGCAGGUACAACCAAACUAUUGUGCAAGGAGGCCUCUGUUUCAAGGCCAGAUGUGAUGUGCUUUCUCAUAACGGUGAGUCUGUUUUUGGAGGUCACAUGGCAAGCCUGUAAAUUAAAAAUAUAUUUUUGAAAUAAAAAGUGUCAACAGAGAGAUUUCCAGUGCAACCCUAUGCAUGUCUACUCAGGAGUAAACCCACCUGGGUUCAAAGGGACUUAUCCCCAGCUAAGUGUGUGUAGGAUUGUAGCCUUUAUGAUGCAUCAGACUUGGUCUAAAUCUGCUUUUAAGGGGACUUAAAAAUACUUGAGUAAAUAUAGAAUGCAAAGAUUUUUAAUAAACUUGAGGCAUGAGCCAUCCAAAGGUAAGUAAGCACUUUUGCAUCUCAUUCGCUUCAGUGAGAGAAAGUCAAGAAGGUGUUUAAUUCUUCCAUGGACACACACUGCUUACAUUGGUCUGGAUUGUGCCCUUGCAUUUUUCAAAUAAUUACUGACAAGCCCAGGAAGUCCCCAAGAAUGGUGCCAUUUAGUCACGAUGGAGAAUGAUUGGCUUUUUAAAAAGCAGGGUAAAGGGAGGUUAACUGUAAGCGUUACAGCAAAUGUUCACUUAUAGCCCUUGCCAUAAAACUAAUUAACAACACCAUCUAAUAAUAAAUCAGGUUUUAAAAUCCUGAGUCCUAGUGUGAUCUUCCCGGAGCAUCCCUGUGAUCCAUCAUUGGCUCCAGGCGGAGGACAAUUGACCUUUCGAGAGACGAAGAGAUGAGGCAAUCAGGGAUGACUAUGACAGGAGCGCAGGAAACGGAAUCUGAAGCAGAAAAUUGCUCUCACCAUAUUACUAACACAUCUAAUUUGAGGACAUCCUGGCACAAUCAAAUUCACACAGAGAGACAUGCAGGAAGGGGGUAGAAAACUGAGGAAGAUCUGGUUGUUUGCGGGAAGACUUCCUGGGGCUCUGUGUGUGUGAGAGAGAGAAAUGGACCCACAGGUCUUGGGAGGGGCCAGACCUGGUGAUUAAGGAUUUGGUAUUUUAUAGUGCCCCAAACUCCACCCUGGGAGCCAGCAAGGCAGCGGUCCUGUUGGUUAUGUGUAUCUGCCUGUCUGUCACCCUGGCAACAAGGCCUAGCUCUAACCUUUUCCCCUCUCCUGCCUUCCUAGCUGAUAGCUAUUCAAUCAAACUUAAGUACCCAUAAAUACUUUGGAGGGAACUAGUCGGAUUACUCCAGGAAUGUAUGUGUAUAAUUUUAUCCUUCCAGGCCUAACUGGUGGUUUAGCACUUGUGAUGCUUAAUUUUAAGCAAACCUUCAUUAGCAAAGAGAAUGGAACCCUAAUUAUUUGGGCACAAGCUAGCAGUUCGAAAGCACAUCAAAGUGCAAGUAGAUAAAUAGGUACCGCUCCAGCGGGAAGGUAAAGGCAUUUCCGUGCGCUGCUCUGGUUCGCCAGAAGCGGCUUAGUCAUGCUGGACACAUGGCCUGGAAGCUGUACGCUGGCUCCCUCGGCCAAUAAAGCAAGAUGAGCGCCGCAACCCCAGAGUCGUCCGCGACUGGACCUAAUGGUCACGUCCCUGCACCUUUACCUUUAUACAAAUGGAAGACUGGGGAAAACUAUGGAAAGUAAAUUUAAAAUUUACUAAUUGUAUAAUUCUGAAAGAGAAUUAUAUGAAAAUGAUAUAUCGAUGGUAUAUAAUUGCUAAAAUGUAUAGAACAAGUUCUAAUAAGUGCUGGAAGUGCAAAGAGAAAGAAGGCACUUUCAGGAUGAGAACAAAAAUUGCACGCCGGCAGCACAGCAGCAGCGGGAGGCCCUAUUAGCUAAAGUGUACCUCAGGUUAAGAACAGUUUCAGGUUAAGUACGGACCUCCGGAAUGAAUUAAGUACUUAACCAGAGGUACCACUGUACAAAACAAUGGUACUGUACAGGUAAAGCAUGGAAUACAGAGUGAAUUGAAACACAGAGCUGGGUAACAGGUGUGUGGGAGAAAUACUAACCAAGGAACAAGCUGGGAGCAUAAUUAUGAGACCAGGUUGAUAAAAUAACCCAACACUGCUUGGCCCCAGAAGUUGUAUGUGAACUACAAUGGUACCUCGGGUUACAGACCCUUCAGGUUACAGACUCUGCUAACCCAGAAAUAUUACCUCGGGUUAAGAACUUUACUUCAGGAUGAGAACAGAAAUCGCACAGUGGCGGCAGCGGGAGGCCCCAUUAGCUAAAGUGGUACCUCAAGGUUAAGAACAGUUUCAGGUUAAGAACAGACCUCCAGAACGAAUUAAGUUCUUAACCCGAGGUACCACUGUAGUAUUCUGCUGCAGGUGAGGAGAUGUAAUACACUGUUAGGCAUGUUAAGACUGGAAUUGUGGUUCCCCAGUGACCUUUGAUGGCCUGAGACUUGCUUUUAAAAGUGUAGCAUAUUUUAUGGAGAAGCGCUGGAGCUGAUUCACAACCUGCACAGGAAACCCCAGAUCUGCCACAGAGGCUGGAGACUGAUCAUAGUUAAGAGAGAGAGAGAGAGAGAGAAGGAGAGCACUACAGUUCGGAGCAUCAUUAACAAACUACAGAGGCAUCUGUCGUUAUGGUGCACACACAAUUAAGUUGCCUCAUCCUCACUGUUUUCGGAUUUCUCAAAAGGUCUUACCCAUUCUGUUUCCGAAAGGUGAGCGUGGGAUUAGUAUUCACACCACAAACACAGGUACGCCUUCCAAGCCACCUUCAACUUUCAUCUCUUCCAAGCAGUUCUGGCUCCCUGGUGACUGUUACCCGUGUGAUAACCCUGAUUUGUCGUAAUCACAUUGUGCAAUUGUGGGUGUACUCUAUAUAUAUAUACAGUGGUACCGCAGGUUACAUAUGCUUCAGGUUACAUACGCUUCAGGUUACAGGUUACAGACUCCGCUAACCCAGAAAUAGUGCUUCAGGUUAAGAACUUUGCUUCAGGAUGAGAACAGAAAUCGGGCUCUGGUGGCGCGGCGGCAGCAGGAGGCCCCAUUAGCUAAAGUGGUGCUUCAGGUUAAGAACAGUUUCAGGUUAAGAACGGACCUCCGGAACGAAUUAAGUACUUAACCCGAGGUACCACUAUAUAUGUGUGUGUGUGUGUGUGUGUGUGUGUGUGUGUGUAGUGAAGAUCUUAUUUUUCACAUUGUAACAUUUAUUCUGAAUCGUUCUUGUGGCCUUUUCUUGAACUGUUUCAAAUAUUUCCAUUCUUGGCAUCCCUCCGCCCCCAUUUUCCUUUUAUAUUGCUCAGGAAGUCAGAGUUGCCAUCUGGCUAAUUUGAAAGCGAUUGUUUUUUAUGGCCUUACCAGUUGUUGGCUUGCAGGCUGUUUUGGAUGCUCAGGUUUGUUUAUUUUUCUAGGUUGUUUUUCUUCUCUCUGCGGGUGCCCAGAGAAAUCCUAAAAGCACAUGAAUGUUAAGGUCAGGAGGACAAGACAGUUAAAGGGGACCACACACCAUCUUUUCUCUCUAACCCUUUCCUUUUUGAAAACCCAGCUACAAACAGACAAUAAUAAAACAUUGUGAUAGGCAAAUCCCUGAAAAUGAGUCUCACUGGUGCCAACACACGACUAUUUAUUUUUGUGCUGCCUUAACAUCUCUGUCCUGUCUCCUAGAUCUAAUGUCUUCCCCCAAAUGAACAGAUAUAAAUGCAAAACCCAGACAAUCCUUAAUGAACAUAACACAGCAGCCGAUCACACAAUUAUUUAUUUAUUAUUACGUUUAUAACCUUCCUUUACUCCCCAAAAAUCAUCCAGUGGUGCAGAAGUCCCCAAAUUAACAGCAAAGUCCCCAAGUUAACUAUCCAAGUGGGCUUUCACCUGAAGGAAUUCCACAGCAAAAAAUGUAUUGGCUCUCGCAGUCAUCUGUCUUUUCUUAAGAUAACAGUAGGGAGCACAGAGUCUCCCCAGCAUAUCACAGGCCUAGUAGUUAAUAAGGUAGAAAACCUGUGUUUAGACUGUACUUUUUCAACUGCAGUUGGGUGUACCCCUCCCUCAUGAGGAAAAAAAAUAUUCUUAUGCACAGAAGACAAUACAGUGGUACCUCGGGUUAAGUACUUAAUUGGUUCCGGAGGUCUGUUCUUAACCUGAAACUGUUCUUAACCUGAAGCACCACUUUAGCUAAUGGGGCCUCCUGCUGCUGCCGCGCCGCCGGAGCUCGAUUCCUGUUCUCAUCCUGAAGCAAAGUUCUUAACCCGAGGUACUAUUUCUGGGUUAGCGGAGUCUGUAACCUGAAGCGUAUGUAACCUGAAGCGUAUGUAACCCGAGGUACCACUCUAGUGUCAGGGAGAUGGCUGGUAAGAAUCAUUCAGCAGAUACUGAGUUUUCUAUGUGGCGAAACAUCCAGUCACAUAAGCUGCAACAUGCAUUCUGAAGUGGCUGCGUCCACUUCAGCCCAUCUGGGUUAUUGAUUGAUUGAUCGAUAUGCUGCCCACCUGACUGGGUCGCCCCAACCACUCUAGGUGACUCCCAACAAAUUAAAACACAGUAAGAUUAAAAAACCUCCCUUUAAAGGGUUGCCUUCAGAUGUCUUCUAAAAAUCAGAUAGUAGUUAUUUCCGUAACAUCUGACAGGAAGAUGUUCCACAGGGUGGGCACGACUACUGAGAAUUCCCUCUGUCUGGUGCCCUGUGGACACCUAGUCCACAACAACGUUAUAGUCCAGAUAGAGGUUUACCACUGCUGGAAGUAGUAGGGCUUAGAGUACAAAGGGACUCUUAUCUCAGGGAUUCCGAGACUUGGUCUGGGAAACAGGCACUGGCUAAGCUUCUUGUUCCACUUGGGCUGCUAAUCAAAGUAGGGAAGUACCAGGCAUUUCCUGUGUGCUGUAGCUGUCCAUGCCCUACCUGGUCUGGGAAGUCAGGUGAUGCUGGAGGACCAUUCUCAUGGAUGUUCUUUCCUCUGAUCAGCCAGUUGCUAAGGGAGGUCACCUUGUGCUUUAGCCUGUGUCUUUACCCCCACUGUCUGCACCUUCUAAGGUACCUUCCUACAUUUAGCCUGAGGUGUAAUACAUUCCUCCAGUUAUUCUGGACCAGGAAGUAAACAAUCAACACUAGGAUUUUGAACUGGGCCCCUGGGUACCAAAUGGGAGUCUCUGCCUUGUGAUCAAAACAUCACCUGCACCUGUGUGCCUGGUCUUUGAAGGCCACCCUAUAAAAGCAUUGUGUGAUGGAUAUCACUGCUUGGGAGCAAACUGAAGAACUAGACUACCUAGUCAUGGAUGCUUUCGCUGAGAUCCCUGCAUUGCAGGGGAUUGGACAAGAUAAGCCGUGGGAUCCCUUCCAACUCUACCAUUCUAUGAUUCUAUGAUCUUAGACGGAGGACCGGCCUUGGGGCCAAGCCUGUAGACUCUGUUCUUCUGUUGUAAUGUAUGCUUGUCAUUGGAUCUGAACAGCUUUAUUCCUCAUGCUGUGAGUAGCCAUAAAAAUGAAGGACUGAAGCUCAUGAUGGCGGUACAUCCAUCAGCUUUAGAGAUGCAAAGAGGCAUUUCCGUGAGUAACCCAAUUAUCAGUUUAGAUCAUAUAAGCUGCUAUAUAUAAUUAGCAGCCACAGUCUUGGGCAUCGACUGCAGAUGGCCCGCAAUUGUUGCCUGAGCUCAUUGACAAUCAAAUUAUUUGCACUUCCAGAUUUCUGUUGAGGAAAGGUUCAAGUCACUCACCCACCCCCGUACAAAUGACGGCGGAAGCACUUUUCGUUCUGGCCUUCAUUGCUUUUGAUAUAUUAGACAAUGAAGCAGAAGCGAGACAUUUUAUAACCCAGUGUGAUGCUCUGGCUUCCAUCAUUUUCAGUGGUUAAUAUCUCCUUUUCCAGUCAAGACGCUGGAACUUCAGAAUACACUUCCUUAGGAGAUCGGUCUGGUUUCCUCCAGAUGUUGUUUGACUACAAGGACCAUCGUCCCUGAUCAUUGGCUGUGCUUGCUAGGGCUGAUGGGAGUCAGAGUCCAACAACACCUAGGCUACCCCUGGAGUAGAUGAUGGGGACGACGACAAUAUGCUGUGCCUGAGACGCAGAUCCACACCAUACAUUUGAAGUACUUCCUGUACACAUACCUUCCCCAAAGAGUUCUGAGAGCUGUAGUCUUCCCCUCACAGAGAUAAAAACUACAGCUCCCAGGAUUCUUUGAGGGAAAUCAUGUGUGCGUUGGAUGUGCUUUAAACACCGUAUUUACACGAAUCUAAUGUGCCAUCGAAUCUUAUGUGCACCUCAACUUUCAAAGCCUUGAAACCAAAAAUGUAUUUCCUAUGUUUUUCAAGCUUGCAGUCACAUCUAAUGCACUAUAAAAUAUAAUGUGCAUCCUAAUUUUCGUGACGUAAUUUGCCCAUAAAAUGUGCAUAUUACAUUCGAGUAAAUACGGUAUGUGGCGUGGAUCUGAUCGCAACAGUGUCGUAGUCAGUCAGAGGAGACAAUAUUCUGAGCUGGAUGGAUAUAUAGUCUAAGCUGGCAUGAGGGAGUUUCUUAUGACCCCUGGCGACCUGCCCCUCAUUGAGGGGUCCCCAGUGUCUGAGCAUGCUUAUGUGAUGUGUCUCUGAUAAAGAGUGCACACACACACACACACACACACACACACACACAGGUCCUUGCAGUGCAAGCCCUCCCACCAUAUCUUUCCUCCCUGUCAUAAUUCCAUUACAGAUGGAAAAAUAUGUUUUAAAGAGGUUUUAACGCUCCAAAACACCAACCAUUCCAAGUCUUAUUGACAAAGUGAUGUAGAGUUUCUGCACAAAUAAUCUGCAUGGAAAAGGCAAAAACCAAUUUAAGAGCGACUUGUGAGCAUGAUUUAAAUUUAACGUGACUUGUGAAGAAAUUGUAAAACAGAAGGGCUGCAAUUUAUCCCCCCACAACACACCCCCGCCCUCUUUUUAAUUCUCUUCCUUGCAUAAUUUCCCCCUUUGCUUUCCCAGACAGACUUCAUUAGCAUCUCCCUCAAUUACUAUCGGUGUACCCUGCAGAGAUGCUAUUAACAAUCCCGGCUUGCUUGGGGACUUGAGUUUUAUUUAACAGUUGCUUCCGUAGUCACAGGAGAAUUUCGCUAGGCUGCUCAAUGUCUUAGAGGGCUUUGCUGGUGGUUGUGAUAAUGCGAGUCUCGAAUAAUUCAGGCAGAUGAAAUCCAGAGGGCAUAGUCAUGACAACAACAACUACUACUACUUCCUGUGUGCAGAGGCCAAGGAACAGGCCCUAGGUGGAGAGAGGGGACUGAGGUUGCCAACCCAACUGUAAUGUGUGUAGAGGAUCUAACACAGUUUAGGAGUUGAAAGCCCCUUCACAUUUGCAAACUCAGCCAUCUUUCAACAGCUGCAAUAGAAGCACCAUCACGUUUCAAAUGGUGGACAGGCUGAGAUAGGAUGGAAGCUGAUCUUAGGCCAUCGAGUGAGUUCAAGGUUAAAGCGAGAUUUGAAUGGAUGGGGGCUCCCCCCCCCCAGCAUACUUGGCAACGCUACAGCAGUUCUCUUGGCGUGCAGAUAUUAAUUCAGAUCACAUUUCCAAAUGUAGGCUGAGGGCAAAAGAACCACGUCUAUCAAUUCUAGAGUGGCUCUGGAAUUUACAACCAGCCUCUAAUUUGACUGGAGCUGAAGCUGUAAAAUUGGAGCUGCACUUCCAGUGCUCAGAAAUAAAUUAUACCGAAUUUGGGGGGGGGGGAGCAGGAUGGUGCCCAAGUAAAUGCAUUCGGGCUGAGCUGCCAGUCAGCCGAGAUCCGAGCCCUUGACUGUGAAUCAGGUUGACAAUUACAAACGCCGUACAUUUCUCUGCCUUAAUUCAAGGGAUCUAUUGACAUUUCAUCAUACAAAUCUUUGCCAGCCUUGACAAUUCAUUUCCCCCGGAAUCCCUUCCUUGAUUGCCUCCCUGGCGGCAGCGAUAUAAUAGGCAGCUCUUUGGAUUAGCUGCGAAGGAAAUGAAUUGCCCUUAAGAGUAGCUUUCCGUCCCUUAUAGAGGGUUCCUUCAGGGCAAAUAAAAACCCCUCUUCCUGCUUUUUUAAGAGUUUGGGCAAAGCCAGGAAGAGUAUUUAGGGACAUAUGCUUAGGGUAGCAUAACCUGAAACAUUUAUCUGAUGAAAAUAGGGAUGUCCCAUUCCACAAUAUUUAAACCCCAUACAUCUUAAUGGGUUGCCCCAGCCACUCUGGGCAGCUUCCAACAUAAAUAAAAACAUAAUUAAAAAAAUUAAACAUUUAAAAAAACCCUUCCCUGUACAGGAUUGCCUUCGGACAGCUCGGGGGUUGGAUAACUCCAUACCCUCCAACAUUUCUCCAAUGAAAAUGUUGUUGUUGUUUAGUCGUUUAGUCGUGUCCGACUCUUCGUGACCCCCUGGACCAGAGCACGCCAGGCACUCCUGUCUUCCACUGCCUCCCACAGUUAGGUCAGACUCAUGCUGGUAGCUUCGAGAACACUGUCCAACCAUCUUGUUGUCCCUUCUCCUUGUGCCCUCCAUCUUUCCCAGCAUCAGGGUCUUUUCCAGGGAGUCUUCUCUUCUCGUGAGGUGGCCAAAGUACUGGAGCCUCAGCUUCACGAUCUGUCCUUCCAGUGAGCGCUCAGGGCUGAUUUCCUUCAGAAUGGAUGGGCUUGAUCUUGCAGUCCAUGGGACUCUCAAGAGUCUCCUCCAACACCAUAACUGGCAAGCCAUUCCAGUAUCGCUGCCAAGAAAACUCCAUGGACAAAGACAACAGGCCAAUGAAAAUAGGGACAUCCUAAGGAAAAGAGGGACAUUCUGGGAUCAAAUCAGAAACAGGGGUGACUUCUCUGAAUCAGGGACGUCCCUGGAAAAUAGGGACACUUUAGGGUCUGUGGUAGUUAAAGCCCCUUUUAUUGAUGGAAGCUGCUGCCCCCUGAUCUCUGUAGCUGGACCUUUUUUGUGGCACUUCAGCACUUUUGCAGACAAAGUAAAAAAAAGGCAUUUCCUUUGCACAAAUUACCGCCUGAACUCCAAAGACUGCUAACCUUCUGCUUCCUUUGCUGCUCAGGGUUUUACAGCCUUUUGAGCAGGAUGACCUUUCGAAAGCUUUUUUCUCAGCCUUUGGUAUCCAAGGGAAUUCCUCACAAAAUCCUGUUGGUGGAGUGGGGGGGGGGCAGCUGUAGAGAGUGUGUCUCCCAGCGGUCCCACUCUAGGAGUCUUUCUGCACCUGAGGCAGGAGGAGGUGGUAGAAUUAUGGACUCCACCUUCAGACUUCUGGCUGGGCAGCAGGAUGCAUGUAUCACCAUCAUUCCUCCAGAGAACUCCUUGCAUGUCACAGGUGAGCACAUCAGGAAGAAGCCCCUGGAAAAGUAAAAAGAAAGAAAGAAGCAGGGAUUUGUUGUUGUUGUUGUUAUGUAUUCAGACUGGCUGCAGUUCUCACUCUGGGCCACCAGUAUGCAAAUGAAGGAUUGAGAGUUGCUUUCACCGAUUGGGUAGUUACUUGGAAUUCGUUACUGUUACCUGAGAAUGAUAACUGAUUAUAUUAUUUGGGCAGCCUGGCGAUUCCUUUGUAAUGGUAAAUACUCAGUUCCUGAGUCCAGGUCACAGGCACGCCCUAUUAAAUGUGCCCUUAAGACAGGAUUUGUGAAAGAGACAAAGGGGAGAUUUCCCAUUUCCUUCGACCUUGCAGAUAAAUAUUUGAGGUCAUUUUGGGAGAGAGAAAACGGUUUCAGGACUUUUCUGUGGGUUUCAGACAUGCGGUUCACAUAUUUGUAUGUGUUUGCUUGGUACAUUUAUGAACAUCUAUAUAGGGACGCAGGUGGCGCUGUGGGUUAAACCACAGAGCCUAAGACUUGCCGAUCAGAAGGUCGGCGGUUCAAAUCCCCGCGACGGGGUGAGCUCCCGUUGCUCGGUCCCUGCUCCUGCCAACCUAGCAGUUCGGAAGCACGUCAAAGUGCAAGUAGAUAAAUAGGUACCGCUCCGGUGGGAAGGUAAACGGUGUUUCCGUGCGCUGCUCUGGUUUGCCAGAAGCAGCUUAGUCAUGCUGGCCACAUGACCCGGAAGCUGUGCGCCAGCUCCCUCGGCCAAUAAAGCGAGAUGAGCGCUGCAACCCCAGAGUCGGUCACGACUGAACCUAAUGGUCAGGGGUCCCUUUACCCUUUAUUUUAUAUAUAUAAGGCCUUAAAAUUCUUAUAACAAUGUGCCCAUGGAUUUUGAAUGAAGAGGUGCAAAGUGAUAAGUUCACAAAUAUCUGGGCUUGUUUCCAGUCUAGGGCUAGUUGAGGGAAAAGAGAUUACAGUGCCAUUGGGGGAGCUUUAAACAAGGAUGAACGACUAGGUGACCCUGCUCCUAUCUGCCAUUCCACACACACACACCGCAAAUGUCCCCAACCCCAUAUUAUUCUGCCAUGGUAAAAGCACAGUUGGGUGACUGCCUUAAGCAGUGUCUGAUAUAUAUAUAUCCCUUCUAUCACAUACUCCAUCAAAGUUAUCUGCUGCCAAAAUUAGAUUAGUUCUGCUUCCGAUCCUUUGGAGAAAUUUGCUGUGUUCUGCUGGAGUCACAGAAAUGUUUCUCAGGAAUGCUAAGCGCUGCGUAAAAAUCCAGCGGCUCUUGUGUAGUGCAUGCAAGCACUACCAGUCAUUGACAUCCCAAUAGAUCAGUCAGUAGAGCAUGAGUCUCUUAAUCUCAGGGUUGUGGGUUCAAGUCCCAUGUUGGGCAAAAGAUUCUUGCAUUGCAGAGGGUUGGACUAGAUGAUUCUCCUGUUCCCUUCCAGCUCUGCAAUUCUAUGAUGCAGUGAAAGAUACGCAUGCAGUUUUGCAACAAUGGCAUACUGUAUUGUGUGAUCUGUAGUAUUCAAAAUAUGGAAUCCCUGAAUCAUCAUGAGGCAAGCAGAUGCAUGAGUAUAUUUCAAGUGCACCACAAGAGUUUUAGUGGAAAAGUAAUUUAAAACAUGUGAAUGAGCUGACAUAACAAGACAAGAGAAUGUCUUGUUUUAGACAUAUUCAUGGAGGCAAGGUCCGUCCAUUAUUGUUUUCCAAUAAUUAAAUGGAGCCCCCAACUUCAGAGGCAGGAUAUCUGUGAGUCCUGGAUACAUUCUGGCAAUACAUAAUCUUAUUAAAGAUUUGAAUUAUAACAUAUUAGGGUUUCCAUGGGCAAAAAUGUAUAGUCAAACUUUUAAUAGAAGCUUUAUAUAGGGACGCGGGUGGUGCUGUGGGUUAAACCACAGAGCCUAGGACUUGCCGAUCAGAAGGUCAGCGGUUUGAAUCCCCGCGACGGGGUGAGCUCCCGUUGCUCGGUCCCUGCUCCUGCCAACCUAGCAGUUCAAAAGCACGUUUAAGUGCAAGUAGAUAAAUAGGUACCGCUCUGGCGGGAAGAUAAACGGCGUUUCCGUGAGCUGCUCUGGUUCGCUAGAAGCAGCUUAGUCAUGCUGGCCACAUGACCCGGAAACUGUACGCCGGCUCCCUCGGCCAAUAAAGCAAGAUGAGUGCCACAACCCCAGAGUCGGCCACGACUGGACCUAAUGGUCAGGGGUCCCUUUACCGUAUAUAGGGUUGCCAGAUUUCAAAAAGUAAAAACCAGGACACCCUGAAAGUUGUUGAGCUUUGACUUGCGAAAGAUCCAGGACAACGAGCCGCCUAUCAGAAAUUCCCCCUGGAUGUCAAUUCCACCUUUGAAAUCCUGGUAAUGUCCAGGAAAAUCUGGACAUAUGGCAGCCCUACUUUAUAAAAAGUUAUGGUGGGCAAGAAGGAGGAGGAGGAGGAGGAGGAGGAGGAGGAGGAGGAGGAAGUAAUUUCAGAAUUGUGCUGUUCUUUUAUUUCUUGUAUUAUAUUUUUAUUGUACAGACAAAGGACCAUAUGCCAGAGUGGCUAAAAAAAUAAUACAAAGGCCUUUAAAAAUUUUAAAAACCACACAAAUCAUGUGAGUGAAAGUGUGGACUGGAGGGAGAUCCAAUAUGACAGUGCAAGAAUAAUGUGGUGAGGCUGAUCUCCCCUGGCUAAGAUUCUUGCUCAGACAGAAACUGUGCAAUUCCUUAGGGUGAGAUAUUUAAUUAAAAUAAUAACAAUAAAGAAAUGGUGCAAUUCCUUGGUGGCUCUGUCAGCUGGCAGAUGCCAUUGUGCCCUUUCGCUUGUUUCCACAUUCCUGGGGCGUGUGGCCAUUUGGAGCAGAGUUCUGACAGGGAGUGAGAAGCAAGCUUGAUCUGUCUUACCCAACCUAGCCUGCAAUCCUAACCCCACUUACCUGGGAGUAAGCCCCAUUGAAUUCAGUAGGAUUUGCUGCUGAGUAGAUACAGUUAGCCUUGCAGCCUUGGCAAGGAAGCCUUCUUCAGUAACCAAGUUAUAUUAACCUAGGGGUGGGGAACCUCAGGUCAGGGAGCUCAAUGCGGCCCUCGAGGCCUUUCCGUCUGGCCCUUAGAACUGUCCUCAGGCCACACCAAUAAUUGUCCCUGCUUUGCAUCCAGAGUUUUUGCCUGGCUGGAGUGUGUUGCUGAACUUUGUUCAUGCCUCCUGUUUGUCUGAAUGAAAGGUGUGUGUGUGUGUGUGUGUGUGUGUGUGUGUGUGUACACAAACUACCCCAGCGUCCAAAGUUAAGAUCUGCAUUGGUUACUCUGCCUUCUUUUACCUCUUGCUGCCCACAACAGGCACAGCUCCAGUUAUUCCCUCCUUUGCGGGUUUCACUAUCUGCGUGUCAAAGGCCUGAAAGGGUCAAUUCCAAGCAAGAACAGCUGGUCCAACCUCAGCGGAGUCAAGUUUGCGAUGAGAAAAAUGCAAGUGUUUGCAUGACUGUGUAAUAUUGAUUGAGGCAGGAUGCUUUUGGGUGUCAUCAAACUGCCCUGGGAUAAACAGCAGGCAGCAGGAGAAUUUCGCAAGGUCCAUAUUCACCAAGCACAUGACAAGAUGAUGGCAGAGGUGAUCAGGUUCGCUUUGUAAGAAGAAAAGAAAAGAGUGAUGAACUUUGCUACCAGCUCCUUCGUUGUUCUUGUGAUGUCUGUUUUGGGAAAAUGCAUCAGGAAUAUCUUUUCUCCCCCCUACUCCUACGGCAAAACCAAAUCUACUCAAAGGAUCUGCCAAAGUGAAGGUAGGAGUGCAUACCUAGAGAUCAGAGCUCACUCCCCACCCACUCCUGCCCCACAUUUGCAGCUUGAGCCGCAAAGUUUGACGGACAAUCUGGUCUUUCUCCACAUGCCCCACGCUUCUCAUGACCCACAUCCC